ACGGAAGGCAGCAGUGAGGAAUAUUGGUCAAUGGGCGAGAGCCUGAACCAGCCAUGUCGCGUGGAGGAAUAAGGAUCUAUGGUUCGUAAACUCCUUUUGCGGGGGGAUAAAGUGCGGGACGUGUCCCGUAUUGCAGGUACCCCGCGAAUAAGCAUCGGCUAACUCCGUGCCAGCAGCCGCGGUAAUACGGAGGAUGCGAGCGUUGUCCGGAUUUAUUGGGUUUAAAGGGUGCGUAGGCGGCCUCUUAAGUCGGCGGUGAAAUUUCCGGGCUCAACCCGGUCACUGCCGUCGAAACUGGCGAGCUUGAGUACGGAUGAAGUCGGCGGAAUGUGAUGUGUAGCGGUGAAAUGCUUAGAUAUGUCACAGAACACCGAUUGCGAAGGCAGCUGACUAAUCCGCAACUGACGCUCAGGCACGAAAGCGUGGGGAUCGAACAGGAUUAGAUACCCUGGUA
rnacentral:rRNA from 1 species